CCGUGGCUCUGAGCAGGGCCAGCGGCUCCAUGCUGCAGAGCCGGGGCUUCGGGGUGGCCGAGAUCACCGCGGUCCUCGCCCAGUGCCACUCGCUCUGCGGCAGCAUCCGGGAUGCAGCCCUGAGAGGUAACGCCACGCUCCAUCCCUCGCUCCCGGUGCCUGGACCAGCACCCGCACUCAGCCUUUCCCCUCUGCUCCACAGGGAAACUCUACAGCGACAUCGGGCUCAGCUAUUCCCAGCUCCACAUCUUCACAUUGGCUGCCGAGAGCUUCCAGAGGGCUCUGGCAUCCGGACCGGAGCAGCACAGGGCAGCCGCGCUGCUGCAGAACAUGGGUGCUGCCCACAAUGCGCUGGGCAGCUUCGGCACGGCGCUGGGCUGGCACCGGCGAGCGGUGGCGCUGCACGGAGCUCUUGGGAACCGGAAGGCACAGGGACAGUGCUUUGGGAACCUGGCCUAUGCCUGCAGCCAGCUUGGGAACCAUGAGGCUGCUGCAGAGAGCUACCUGCAUGCCCUGCAAGCCUUCCGGGACUCAGGGGAUGUACAGGGGCAGUGGCAAGCGUGCGAGGGGCUGGGAGCUGCCUACUUCCAGCUGGGAAAUUCCCCCAGAGCCAUUGGGCACUACAAGGAGGCUCUGACGUUGCUUUCCCAUUGCCAGGUUAGGAACAUGGGGCAGGCUGGAUGCUCUCCUGCAUCACGGGCUGACAACCCCAGCCCUGGGUGCUGACCGUGGGGUGCUUGCUGUGCAGGACACCCCCAGAGCUGCCCGUGAGCGGGUCGUGCACAGGCUCACCGAUGCCAUCCAGCACCAGCUCUGCCUCCAGGGCCGCCUCUCCAGCAGGGUGAGCAUCACCCCAUGGCACAGGGCAGGUUGGGGCACGGAAGCAUCACAGCCCAGGCAGGGCUUGGUGGACGCACCAGGGUUCGGGGGGCAGAGAUGUGAACGCCUCAGUGUCCCCCCCAUCCCAGCAGGACCCCAUCCCAGCAGGAUGUGUCCCCCCAUCCCAGCAGGACCCGGCUCAGCCGCAGCUUCCCCCCACUCAGCCCCG
rnacentral:lncRNA from 14 species